ensembl:lncRNA
UGUGUAACCUGUUGGAAGAAUGAAGUGGGUGUGUCACUCACCAAUUGGUCUGAAGGAGGUUGAGACAGGACCUCGGCACCUGGUGUCUGCAACAAAAGACAACAAUAUAACGUCAGAAACAUUCUCUAGUAUAAAUCCCGACUAUUUAAUUAACUACAGAUCAUAUUUGUAUCAGUGAAUAUUAUUACAGAAGGAUCUGACUUCCUUAUACCAGAUUCUAUAGAAACUUAACACUGUACGGUUCUGCUACCCAACGAUAUGAGGACAGUGUAACACACACUAGAGUUGUUGGUCCUACCACAUGAGGAAGGCAACUGAAACACACUCCUGUCCUUCACAGCUUAAAACAAUAUGAGGACAGUGUAACACACACUACAAUCACUGGUCCUACCAUAUGAGGACUUCUACUUUCCUGUUGGAGGUUGAGACACGACAGAGGGACAGCAGGGUAGUAGCUUGGACAAAUGAGUCUAUUGACACAACAGGGAAGUGAGAUUAAUGAACUGAACGCAACAGACUCUUUCAAAAUAAAACAGGAAACAUGGCAUGAAAAUACAAACGUGGUAAUAUACAGCCCUAACAUAAACUCCUUAAAACGAUAUUAAUAACGUUAAGCCAAACUCAACUAACCCGCCAUUAAACAUAAGAAACUCAAAAACCUUAGAAUAACAUCAGAAACGCUGGGCCAGAGAACCAGACCAUGAGCAAAUAACUAUAAUAUUAUUGAUUUGUGCUGAAUAAGAAAACAUUAAUAUUAUCAUUUAAAUCCCCCCAAGCAUAUCUUGUGUUGAAAAAAAAAAAGUGUGUUGCAGUUAGCUACACUGAGCUUAGACUGACUGUCUCUGCAGUUGAAGAUGCAGAGCACAUGCAAGGCCGCAGGUCCCUUUAACUCCGGUGGGAAUUUAAAAACAGUUAAAUUUAACUUCUAAUAUCUAUUGUUAAAGAUAAAUCUUAAGUAAUUUUUUAGCAUUUAUCAUCAUUCACCACUUUCAAUUUGUUCAAAUCGGUUGUGUAUUGUUUUAAUUCCGUUUAACUAACCUUAAUUAGCUUGUUAAACAUACAACUUUACCUCGCGGAGCUUGCGUCGACGCAUGGAUAUCAAAGGUAAAUACAUACCUCAAGAUAAAUCUCUCCUGAGUGCUGAAGGUCCCGGAUGUGCCGUUCAUGCAGAGCUCCGGCGAGUUUGUAUCUUGCCGUGACCAGCAGCUCUUUGGUUGACGCUUUCGAACAAUCAGAUGCAUCUUUACUCACUUGUUGACCAAUCAGAGACGUCGUUCUAUGCUCCACUGACGAAAUGCUGCAUCCUCUCACCAGCCACCGGUCUCUCCUCGUCCAUUUAACAACAAAAACACAGCAACACGUGCUGGAUUUGAGAUACACAGAGUCGAGACUGAGCCUGAUGAUCAUACUGAAUCAGAUGACAGCGGCAGGAAUCUCCAAGUUCAACUGCAGAUUGCAGAUGCAAUUAUAUUAAUGUAGAUUAAUAUAAACUCUUCAAGGGUCAAAAUCUGCACACACAUCAUUCUGCAUAGUGAAGGUCAGACAAUUUGUGCAUUGAUCUUGAGAAGUAAGACUCAUUAAUUAAUAGUAAUAUAAUUAGACAAAUGUUGAAACUUUAUAUUUCGAUACAUUUUGUCAACAACAAAAGAAACCAAGCUGUGCAGGUACUGAUAACUGAAUCUAAAGACCUUCAUUUUUGUCAAGAUUUGCCUGAUUUAACUGUUGUUACCCUUGCUUAUAGCUCACCUUAAUAUGUAUAAAAAUGUGAAAAGUUUUUGAUGUGUGUUAGAAUGAUUGUUUAAUUGGCAAGGUUUGAACGAACAAUUUUCAGAAGCCUCAAAAUUCAUCUGUUACUAUUCCACGAAUGAUUGAAAUAAAGUUCACCUCCAUUUCAACAUUGAAUACGACUUUGGAC